ensembl:lncRNA
CAAACAACCACUACACGGUGCACAUAAAAUGAAGACAAAUUUCUUUUCACUUUCUUUGCUAUUUUUCAUUGAUAGUGUCUUUAGGAAAAGACAGUGAGAGAAAGUGAGAAGACAGUUCUCCUGACAGAUAAGAGUUAAGGGAGAGCUCAUUACCACGCUGCAGAAACCCUGAUCUGCUGUCCUCACACCAAGAUCAUAUGGAUGCUGAACCAAGAGGAUGACAUGUCCCAUCUUGCAGCUCGAUGUGUCCACUACCAGGACUUGAAGGAAAAAAAGACAUCUCCCCCAGUGUAUUUGCUAAAGUACGGGGAGGGCUUGCAUUCCUCAGCCUCUCCUGCUGUCACUGGUGUGAGGAAGCCAACGGCUGAGGGAGAUGGACUCAUGAUGGCUGCUGAAAC